GAGGAGGCCGGGGGCCCGCAGGGGGCCAGUCCUUGCUUUUUUUUUUUUUUUUUUUUUUUUUUAGUCCUUGCUUAAAUGAAGUGCCAGUGGUUCAAAAGCAGCCAGCAGAUGUGCCAUCUGAUGGGUCAUUUCUCCUUUGAGGGCUACGCUAGUGCCAAGUUACUGAGGUCCCCUGUGAUGUUGAGGCAAGCCAGCCGAUAGGCCAGCAGGUGCUGCAGACGUGUUGUCUGGGCCUGGUGGCCAGAUCAGAACCAACCACGGCCCUGGCCCGCCCGGCCACGUAACCAGUACUCAUCCCUCUGAUUAGGAACUGUGAGCACGGAAUGGGCCAUGCCCAGAAGAUCUGGAAUAAUCAGCAUCAGCGCUUUGCCUUUGCCAUCCAAGACUGCAAACACGCUCUCAUCUGACCUAAUCUGCGGUGUUAAUGAUGGCAGAGCAAUUUCGAGAGGCAACUUGCAGCAUUGAUAAGAAGGAGAGGAAAAGCACCGCGGGGUAUAUGAGGCAGAGAUCUUCACAGCGAAGACAGCUGCUGCCCACCCUCUCAAGACACUUCGUGUAAAUGCUGCCCUCAGAUCUGCCCUGUUUCAGACUUGUGAUGGUAGGAGAAAAAGGACACAGAAGAGCAGAAGGACUAUGCAUGCGACAGGGCAGUGGGGGCUGCCCAUACCACACCUUAGAAUAAACUAGAAAAAUGUGUUCUUUAUUCUAGGGACAUGAAACUCUGAGCCAGACAGGGCACAUGGCUUGUUGAGCAGAGUGUGGGCUGGCUUUGAGCCUCCACUUACUCCCUUGGUUGGGUGUCCUUGUGCAGUGAAUACCCUCCACCUCCAUACAUGGCAGCCCUGAAGACAAAAGGAAAAAUAGAGGGCACAACAGAAACCUGAAACCUCCACGGCAGUACAGAGGUGGGAAAGAUGUAGUGUCUGAUUCCAUCCAUUAAUAGAAAUGCUAGAAGGGGCUUGGAGACCAUCUAGCUAAACCCCUUCAUUGACUAAGAAGCUUAGAGAGGGAGAAUGAUGCACUCAAGUUCGCCUGAACUCUUUCCUCCCAAUAAGAAACUCCACCAAUAGCAGCAAGGUCAGGGACCCAAAACAGUGAGGACCCGCCUGAGGUGUGGAGAGAAGCCCUGUUCUGUCAGGGUGAAAGAAGCAAAAGCCAGCCACAGAGCUCGCCACACCUCCAGUACCCAUUCUUCCCAGAGGGUGGCAGCGGUCUUCCAGCCAGAUGCCCUACCAUCCCAACCUGAACUGCACACUAGCCCUCCCUCCUACUUCUCCCCAGAUCAUAGGGCCAGCUAACUGGGUCCAUGAUUCACUGGGGCAAAGAGAAGCCCCAGGGCCCUUCUCUGCCAGCCCAGCAGCCUUCUUGCCCUAGGAUCCACCCCUCCCACCACCCACCCUGCCCUGGCAUCUAUGGCAGCCCAGUGGGCACUAGCUUGCUCUCAUGUCUCUUGCUCUCUUCUUCCCUCCACCCACUCAUGCUUUUCCAAGUGAAGGGCACCUCCCACCCAGUACAGUCUAGCUACUGGAAUCUUCACAGCAGCAUGGGAUCCACUUUAGAUGGACCAAAGUCAUCUAAAGUCUAGACCAAAGUCUAGACCGUGAGACCAAAGUGAGGUUGUGAUGUUCCUCUGCUGGAGAUCCUCCCCUGGCUCCCAUUUUACUCUGUGGUAAGAGGACUUACUGGGCUAUGGGCUCUGUCCCCUCCCUUCCCUGUGAUUUCUCUGACUUCAUCUCAUCUUUCUCUUCACCUCACUGACUGCGUGCCAGCCAACUGACCUCCUUGUUGGCCCUGUAACUCCUUUCUCAGGACCUUUGUGUCCUGCUGUUCCCUCAGCCCAGUCCCUCAGGUCUCUGUCCAGAUGCCCCCUCUGCAUGGAAGCUUUCCUGGCCAUCCUAGCUAACACAGUACCUCAUUACUCUCAUCCCCUGACCUUCUUUAUUUUCCCUUAUAGCAUUAAUCUCGUCAGUUUCUCACUAGGAUUUAAGUUUUAUGCAGGCAAGGACUUGGUCUUGUUCAGUGGUGCACUCCCGUCCCUGAGACAGUGCACGGUACAUUGUGAGUGCUCAGCUUGUCAAAAGACUAAAUGAGGAGUACCUGGGUGCCUCAGUCAAUUAAGCAUCUGCCUUUGGCUCAGGUCAUGAUCCCAAGGUCCUGAGAUGGAGCCCCACCUCAGGCUCCCUGCUCAGUGGGGAGUCUCCUCCCUCUCUCUCUGCCUCUCUCCCCAGUUUGUGCUCUCUCUCAUUCACUCU
rnacentral:lncRNA from 1 species